GACGAACGCUGGCGGCGUGCUUAACACAUGCAAGUCGAACGGAAAGGCCCUGCUUUUGUGGGUUGCUCGAGUGGCGAACGGGUGAGUAACACGUGUGUAACCUGCCCUUGACUUUGGGAUAACUUCAGGAAACUGGGGCUAAUAUCGCAUAGGAGCUCCUGCUGCAUGGUGGGGGUUGGAAAGUUUCGGCGGUUGGGGAUGGACUCGCGGCUUAUCAGCUUGUUGGUGGGGUAGUGGCUUACCAAGGCUUUGACGGGUAGCCGGCCUGAGAGGGUGACCGGCCACAUUGGGACUGCGAUACGGCCCAGACUCCUACGGGAGGCAGCAGUGGGGAAUAUUGCACAAUGGGCGGAAGCCUGAUGCAGCAACGCCGCGUGCGGGAUGACGGCCUUCGGGUUGUAAACCGCUUUCGCCGGUGACGAAGCGUGAGUGACGGUAAUGGGUAAAGAAGCACCGGCUAACUACGUG
rnacentral:rRNA from 1 species